ensembl:misc_RNA Y_RNA Y RNA
GGCUGGUCCGAAGGUAGUGAGUUACCUCAAUUGACUGUUCACAGUCAGUACAGAUUGAACUCCUUGUUCUACUCUUUCCCCCCUUCUCACUACCACACUUAACUAGUCUUAA